GUCGGUGCCCGGGAGGAGCCGAGAGAAGGAGCGCCGGCGUAGGAGGAGGAGAGAGAUGUCGCUACUUUUAUAUUGUUUAUGGGCGCGUUUAUGGGUUUUAACUGCGCACGGCACCCUUGGCCAAGCAGCGUGGUAGCAAAUGAUGCAGUGCUCUUCUACAUCCGCAAAUCAUGCUCUGCGAUAGAGUUUCCUACUAUAAUUGUACUUGCUCUGGCCCCUACCAUGCAAAUAAAUAAAUGCUUACAUAUCGUUCAAUUUAUUGCUUACAUAUCGUUCAAGUUAUUCGUUCAAAUUUACCGCCUCUAAAUGCUGCUGCCAUACAGCGGCAUUGACUUGAAGCACCGUUGGAGAGGAAGCAUGCGUUAAGUGUGAAGUCAAACAUACUGCCGCUUGCGUCAGUGUCACAUUAAAUGUUCGGUAGUUCGUUGCAUCUGUAUUAUCUAAACACCUGUGUACUGCUUCAAUGCUGUUUCGGAACCCAUGUUGUUUCGUACCUUUGCAUAGUUUGCGCGCGAGUGCAUCCCCUUCUUGCUGCUGGCUUCUGUUCAGGCACGGCUUUGAAGACCCUGCAAUUUGCCACCAAUUAUGCGACGUUUGCUUCUCGGGCACAUGUUCUUCAUUGCGGUCGACAAUAGCUCAUGCUACGAACCAGUGAUGAGUUCUGAAAUUUGUGUGCACGAGGCGUGCUUCUACGUGCGUAGCUACCCAGAACUUGGAGUGUGCUGGCGCACUUCGCUUCAAGCAUGGCGACCGAGAAAUCAGGCGAUCGUGCAGUGAAGUGCUGCUUCUGUCGUGUGUGUAUGUGUUGUAGAGAUCACAGCACCGGUGCGCUUGUGUGACAGAUUGGAUGCCACGGUGAUACAGUCCACGCUUCUGACGUCGGCGUUUCAUUGUCUGUAGUGGAUACGAUUUCCAUUUGUAAACUUCAAGGCAUGCAUUCUCGGACGGUCAUUUUCGGAUGUCACUGGUUGAGCAGAACCGGAUGACCUAAUUUUCUGAGGGUGAGUUGAUACUUCGAGUGAGUGCACUUCGCCGUUUAGUGUCACUCGCAGGCAGUCUGGCGGAAAUGUUUAGUGACACUUGUUGGCGAGUGCACUUGCCAGCGAGUGCGUUCGAGGAACUCUCGUCGCUGCGUUGAAGUGCGUAGCCUCGAUAGCAGUGCUUCUAGAAUAAAUUACAGAAUAAAUUAGCACAGCAGAGUCUGCACUAACUCUAAGACCACUAUCUCGUGAUUUCAAGUGUUAUGAGUGCCUUUGUCACAUCAUUGAAGCCAAAAAAGGUUGACAUAUUCAUUUUCAACGGAUUCCACCAUUUUGACCCUGUGGAUUUUGUAUAUGUACCUUGCUUGUAUUGACACAGAACAAAUCGGCAUGUUAAUGGAAUUACAGUAUUUAUAUGUUUGAUGGCAGAGGUUCUUAUACACAGGCAUUUUUUGUCAUAAUAAGAGGGUAACCAUUUCUAAAACUCAAAAUGCAGAGAAAAAUAUCAUCCCCUAUGGCUUCACAGACCGUCAUUGUCAUGAAUACUGAAUGACGCUUCGCUUUGCCGACUAGCACUAUGUCGCUGAAGUAACACUCAGCGUGGAGAAGUGUGCUCGCUCGAAGUGUCACUAAAUUUGCUCGUCUGACUUGGGUGUGAUGAGAGUACCUCCCAGUAGGAGCAGUAACACUUUUGUAAGCUGCGGGGAUGUAAAUUUAUUUAUGUAGAGUGAUUCAUAAUGUGGUGCCUCUGGCAACUGAUAUGCUGAAUUGGACACUUGUAUGUGGAAUGACAGGUGGAACCAGUCAAUAAUUAGUAGUAGAAAACAUUUGAAGCAUGGUAUUGCAACUGAUAGCCAUGAGGAGGUGCGUAUUGCUUACAGCACAAAAAUUGUGAGCAUUAGAGAACACAGGGCAAGCAAUAAUAACUUUUCUUGUGUGUUGAUUGGCAGCAUGAGCAGCCUAAUAUGAUACUUGCAUUAUCAUUGGCUACUUUAUCAUUGUUGAGAGUGCAGUUGCGCACUUGCUAUUAUUCACACGUGGUUGAUGGAACAAAAGAAGACAAUAACUUUUUGGAGCAUGCCUAAUGAGAAAGCUUUGGUUCUAAACAUUGUGUUAGUGUCUUGCUUGCUGACAGGGAGCUUGCUUUUUUUGCAUGGUGGUGUGAACAUUAUGUGCAUGCACCCACUUGUGCUAAUCUGUCAGGUACGUGUGCCACUGUAGAGACUUUUCACUCUACAAACUCUAGUUAGCCAUCAGUGUAACAGAACUUGAGUGAGCUGCUUGGACAUCUUUAGAUGAAUAAGUAAAAAGAAAAUGAGGAAUAGAGAACACAUAACAGCCCAUCACAACAAGCAAGGCCGGGACUGAAAGGAAAAUCUUUAAGACAUUGCUAAUCGUUGGGCUGACAGGUCAGUAAGGCAUCACAGUCUCUCCUAGAUAAAUUAAUAUCUUUUUCGGGAAGGUCACAUACUGAAACGGUAAUUGAUGCGUGCUAAGGCUUUAAUUGUUUUUGAUUGGUGGCUCCUGCUGUCGGGGCAUUGUUGGUAACUUAGAGAAAAAUUCGCCACAUUUAGAGAGUAUUUAGUCGGCUCAAUGACAGCGUUGGCAUAUUGGAGCCUUGGCAUCUUUUUAGUGACCGAAUAAAACCAGUUAAUUGGCCUGGUAAAAUUCCUCAAUGGGCUCUGGCUAACUUCAAUGCCUCGUCCAUGUUUUAUGUGCUUCUGUUUUUUGCAGUUUCUGAAGACAUACCGAAAAGCUUAAUAAUGAUUCAUUACCUUCUGCAUCAAAGUUACAUUUCUGGGCGAAGGAUUAUAUUGAGAUCUGAUGCUGUUUUAAAAAAUCAGGGCUUGUAUUCUUUUUUCACCUUCCACCAUUGCAGAAGGUUAUUUAAGGCUGUAGUUUAGAAGGUAACAAAGUGGACGUCUAUGAAGACAAAUAUAAAAUAAAGACAAAAUUCUGAGCAAGUCAUCACCAUCAUCACUUUGUUACUUUGUGCUUAAGUGGAAUGUUUUCAAGUGGGACUUGGAGAGUUUAGAAGAAAAAAUAUUGCUGUUGCUAUGUGAUAUCAUGUGAGAAUGCAGUUAUAAGUGGUUCCUGUUUCUUGGAAUAAAACUGGCAGUCGGUAUACGUCCUGUUGUUAUGUGUUCUUUUGACCUCAUUUCUUGUGCUUUAUUCCUAAAAAAAAAUAAUUUGUAAUUCCAGCAUGUGGCCUUCUCUUUCGACAUGCUUGUGGCUCUAAGUUACCCUCAUGUUGCCUUAGUGUCACCUUGGUGCGAAACUUGAGUGCAAACAAGAUAGUGAAUUAGCCAGAAAAGUCAUGUACAACCGGAGCCGCUAUUUUUGGACCAUUGAGUAGUUGUGUAAAAACACAAAGGAAGCCUUCACUAAAAUCGUGAUUAUUUUUCUGUGCGAAGCCAGUGGCUGUUUUUGCCUAAUGGUAGGCAGUUCUGUGACAGUUGGUAUUACCUGUCUCUAAAGCUGGUUCAUCUGUCAUCUGAUUAUCUACUCUACAGUGACACAAAAGUUGCUAGGAGGGUUGCUGUGCAUAUUUUGAGGGAGAAGCUGUUUGCUGAAUAUUUUUUUCCUGGCCAAAACAUUUGAAAUGCUGACUGUGUCUGUCCAGUUGCAGGUGUUGUAUUAACUUGCAUUUAAUUUCAUUUAUUUCUUCAGUGCAAUGAAUAAAUCACAGGUAGGGUAUAAAUAUACAAUCAGAGGACUCAAAGAACUGCCGGAGGGACUUCGUAACAGGAAAUAAAUGGGGCUCUAGUAUGAUUGUGGCAAACAGUAUAGGCUCACGUAUCAUACGACAGGUGUGUUCAUCAGCAAUAAUUGGAAAAACGCAAUGUCCAGAAAAAACUGGGUGGUAACUUGUGCUACCAGCAGUUGGGAUUAGUAUCAGUUACAGCAGAAAAAACUAAAUAAUAUACAGUACAUAUAUACUUAUUAUUACUAGUUAUACUGAUCAAACAAUACUUCGACUUCUGUAAGGUGUUAAUAAAAUAUUCAAUAGCUUUGCACUUGAAGAAAUCAUGUGUGGAUGCUUUGAUUCAGCUGGGGAUCAAAUUACACAUACUGCGGCACUCUUGCUCUCAUUUGACACUUAAAGAUGUCCAGAAAUUUUGCACUGUUUAAGAAUUGUAUUGGUUUGUUAGAUUAGACAAGUUGGUGAAUUAAGCACUGAAACUUUUUUUUUUUUUAGCUGAGGUAGAAUUCUAGGUAUUUCCAAGCAUCUUAGGUUGACUGAAAAUACUUUUCUUUCUUUCUGUAAUUUUGAUGUUUUUUUAGGAUCUGGUAGUGUUUUGUAGUAUCCUUCUCUGCCAGUUAGUGCUGAUAAAUAUAGCAUAACAUUGCAUUUUAUUUUUCCUUUUCCAGGUCACUGUUCAAAGGAGUGCCCAGAAUAUUGUUGCAUAUUGUACUGAAGAUUGGCCAACCGUCUUUACUUGAAGGACGACAUUCUUUAAACGAAAAGUGGACCGAGUUACGACAAGGCUCAUUCGAGUUCGGAGGACGACAGCGAGCUGGCAACAGAUGGGAGCCAAAGCCAGCAAUUCAUGCCAAGCAUCCCCGUGAGCGAACAAAAUGUUGCCGGUGGAAAGGGAAAACCUUCGAAAAGGGGGGUGUUCCAGUGUCCACUCUGCCCACACAUUUCACAUUACCUGAGCGCUUUGAACAUUCACCUGCGUAAACACAGCGGAGAGAAGCCUUUCAAGUGCAGCUUCUGCUCUGCGGCUUUCGCUCAAGCGGGAACCUACAACCGUCAUGUGCGCACACACACCGGUGAAAAGCCAUUCAAGUGUGAUGUCUGCCCCUUUUCGACGGCGCACAGCCAGGCAUUGACCUACCAUCGGGCGACCCACGCGCGUUGCAAACCAUUUACAUGCGAGAUUUGCUUUUCCGCGUGUGUGAACAAGGGCAUGUUGCUGAAGCACAUGCGCACCCAUGUGGAGAAGAAGACCGAGGAAGGCGCUGCCGCCCAGUCACGGGGCGGCAGCCUGAAUGACUAAUCAAAGGAGCGCCUUCUUUUUCUAUCACACUCAGUCAGACUGCUUGGGCACUUUGUAUAUUUAAGAUAUGUUAUGUUGCAAUACAGUGCAUUAAUUCGCUUCCUUCUUAUGCUCUUUAUGUACAACUCUUGAAGUACCUGGGGCGAUUACUUUUGGACGUAGAUUCCUUUUCUUGAGAUUUGGCGCCAGACGCGUUUGCGUAUAUAGCUGUCAGCAUUUAUGGUGCUGUGCCAAGCUCGCUAUCUUGGCAAAGAGUUGCCUUUUCAUGUGAAGGCGAAACUAUCUUCUAAAGGUAUUACUCGAGAAUACCGCCCCUCUUAAUUUCGGGUGAGCGUUGACCAACACAGCAAUUAGAGUUGUCUCACAUAAAAGCCCUUGAUUGAUGCGCCUCCAACAGCAGGCUGGCAGCAAACUUCAUGGAGGGACUUUUAAGUGAUUUAACAGUGGUAGAAUAAAAAAUGUCACUUAUGCCAAUGUUUCGACAAGAGGUAUUGCUCAACCAAAAACAAGACCUCUUCUCGAAUUGAUGGCUUCAACAACAUUCCUUGUUUGAGUACUGCUAAUCACUUUAAGCCCCCGUCUGGCUGUAAACCACUCUCUCGUCAUGGAGGGACUUUAAUGUCAUAAAGCGCACCUGCGAAAGUAGGGGCAUCUAUCAUUGUAACUGCUUUUUGUAACCACUGUGUGCGUGAUGAUGGUCAAGCUGGGAGUUAGGCCAAGAUGGGAGCUAUACGAAACUUGUUCAUAAGCACGUGCAGAUUUGUUACACUUGCAUUGGAAGCGGAGAAGCAGCAUGGGAUAUAUCGAACUGAAUAUACAGUCAUUCAGAAGAAAGGAAAUACACACUGUUUUCUGAUACUCUUGUGGGAGCACGGCUCAGUGCUUCAGCUUAAUGGACAAGCCAGUGUAGCAUAGCAGAUCAUGUUUGAAGAGGAUGCUCUGUGUGCAUGCGCCUACUCACUACUUUGGCAUGUGGGCACCAUGGCACACCGCAAACCAUAGUGUCCGCCGAUGCUAUCAUGCGGUUAUAUAUAUAUGUAUAUUAUAUAUAAAAUGUUGAAGGGCUGCACAGUGACCUGCAUUAUUCCAUUAAGACAACAUUUUGCAUUCACUGCUGCAUCGUUCUCAUCAGAUUUUGCGACAAGGGCGCAUAUCCUGGACCACAUCAGUCACUUAAUUGGAGUCAUAGGUUAGGCUGGUUUGUCCUAAAUUCAAGACAGUGACAAGUGGAAAAACCAGUCGAAAUCUUGGCAGCAGCUCGCUUCUCUGAUGGUGAAAUUUGCAUUAAUGGUGAGCCAAGGUACCAAGCAUGGAGGAUGAUGUGGAAGUGGAUAAUGCAGAAAAACACAAUCAUGCUACGAAAUUUGAGUUAAAGCAGCCAUGAGUACAAAAUCCUCUUUUAAGUUUAUCUCAAAUCAAAAUGUAGGUCUGUAUACUAACAUACAGGAUGUUAUUUUAGUUGCACCAAAAAUUUAAAAGUUGCCUGUGGCAGAAAGCAUGAGUUUGACCCUUAAUGAAAGUUACUCGAUAAAGCAGCCCAUCUAUCAAAAUGAUUAAUUGAAUAAAUCACAUAAUUAUGAUGAACUUUUUAAUUACUUUACAGCACUUAUUUCAAUCUGCUAAGUGUAGCUAGCGAGUUAUGCAGGGCAUAUCAAAUUAGAAUGAAUUUUCAGAAAGUGUCCGACAAAAUGCAUUGGCAUUACAGUUACCUUUGUGCUUCAAUGCAUAAAACAGCGUUUCCCUAAAGAAGUAAAUGAAACAACAGCGUAACUUUGUGCAAGUUUGACUGCGUGUAUCUCGAAACCGGUGCCGUCCUGGGAAUUCAUUCUAAGCCGAUAGUGCUUGUCUUUGUCCCAGCUUGUUUGCCAUCCUUUGUCUCAUUUUGCACUGUUUGACAAGAAGGUAUUUGCUUAUUGGAUACAACUUUGUUUAAAAAGGUUACACUGUACUUUCUAUUGCAGUCAUAAAUAUAUGGAUUUGCAGGUUGCAUUAUGAUACAACCGUGUAGUGUGUGAACCAAUAGAACCAUCGACAUUCGCUAGCUAUAGAGUUUAGCAUCUUUUAAAGGUGUGCGAAUAGUGAUUUUUCAGACCAAAUUGAAUACGAAUCGAAUAGUGCCAAAAGCAAAAUCGAAUAGUUUUUGAAUAAUAAACAGUCAUUUUAUCACAAUUCAUAUAAAACGAUGUUCACAUCCUAGUAUAUUUAAACUGGGCAAGUUUCUGUCUAUGAAGCGUUGAAUAAAAGCACAAAUGGAGCAUGCAGAACAAAAAACUGGUUGCUUCACGUGCGCAGGACUCUGGAGAGAGUGUGAAUGGUCGCUGUAUAGCAUGUAAAGUAUGGCUACCUAAGCGACGUUAUCUGCUCCACUAUGCAGUUUCUCAUGUUUUAUGUCUAUACUGUGCCUACAGGGGUGAAAUUUUACCGUACUUUUAUUUAAUCUUAAGUUUAAUUUGGUGCAGUUGACAUUUUGAAAUACAUAUUAGAAAAGUAUUUUAAACAUAUUUGCAUUCACAAAUAGUCACUAUUCCAUCCGAAAACCAUAUCAAAUAGGUCACUAUUCGAUUUGUUAUGUGAAAGUUUCGAAUAUUUGCACAUGCCAAGCAUUUUUUAUUAAUAGCCUGACAGGGGAACAGGCAUUUAAGAUUCGUAAUCAGCCUCUUGAAGCAACAAGGAAGGCCCAGUAGUCAUGAGGAGUCCAGAUCAUGAGUAGAAGACCUGCGGAUGAAUAAAUGGAGGUCACAGCAGACAAAUUCAGAUGAUGCAUGACAGCUUACCGAUAUCCUUGGGAAAGAGGGCAUAGAAUGAGUGUAUUUAUACGAGUACUAACCUAUAGGGCCAACCUGAAGGAUAACAAAGAAACUUGUGACUCGAGUAACGACUGGACGAUGAGUUGUAGAAUGAUAAGUUCUCCUUUAUGACAGAUGGAAAGAUGGUAGCGUGUGUUAGCAAAGGAGGAUGAAAAAGUCUAGUUGUGAAGGUGAUGCAGUGAAAAAAAAGAAACACAGUUCAAGGAGGCAGAGAACUCUAAAGUCAAAUUUUACACAACAUAAUGGACACAGAUAUGACAGUGUAGCUGUUUCUCGCCUGUAUCAGAUGUCUAGCGAAUAUGUGCUUGUAAUAGAUAACGGAUUAGUGAAGGUAUUUUUGGGUUGGAUGCAUUUGACUGUAGUAAAUGAGUUAACUUGUAGGACCCCCCAAAAAAGGUGAGCUAUUAAUUAGAAAAAUGUGAUCAUAGAAAAAGAAAAUAAUUUGCUUUAGAUAAACACCAAAAUAUGUAGGCAACAUGUUCUAAAAAAUUUUUUUACCCUAGCAGAUGUAUGGUGAUUAUUUAUUCUGAUCAUGUUAUUGUGCUGUUAUAAUGCAGUUCCCACUUCAUGUUCAGUCAUUCGUUUUAUUGCACUACUUUUGAAGUCUUAAUAGCUUCUCAAAUUGGUCACAUAUUUUUGAGAGCAUCCCUUUAUUUUGGCUAUGUUAUUCUUGCUGCAUGUUGCUAAUUUUACCAAAGCAAAUGUUCGUUUGUCAAAUACCAAGCUGUAAUUAGUGCAAGUCAAUGAAGUGCAGAUGACAAAUUGCAAAUGUUUGAUAGUGCUCAUACAGAGCACAUUUUGCCAAUACGUUAUGCCAAGCUGUUGUUCCUCAUUGAGAAAUAUUGUGAGCUCACACCUAAGUACUUGUAAAUUUAAACGUUAGCAGAUAUUUUUUUUGAAAGCCUUGUAUAUGUCGUAAGUUGUUAUUCUUUAUAAAUUACAAGGCUGCUACUGCUACUGCAGCAUCUUAAUAAUCACCCAUGUCUUUUUUUCCCCUUGUCAUUUUGUUGGUGCAAUCAGCACAAGUGUUUAAUUCUUGCAUGUCUCUGAUCAACUGUGAAAAGAAGUGAUAAUAUAUAAGAUGUUGUCUUAUAUUGCACAAAUAAAGCUGUGUGUAUAUUGAGAAAAUUGCCAAUGUCUACAGUGUGCAUUGCUUCAUCCAGUGCAAUGAUGAUAAAUGUUCACGUUUACUGUGCCUAGGAAUAGGCAUUGCUUUUACGAAUGCAUUUUCAUUGUCAUUGUCGAGCAAAAUGUGUUUUUCCCACAAAUACAAGUCCCUUUGUUGAAACGUUAUAGCUCCAGCCGCAGACAUCCCUUGUUUGGUUACUCUUAAUUGCUUAAAGUCAACAAUGAGUAAUUAAAAUAAGUUAUAAAAGCUCAGAGUGAUAGUAAAACUGCAGGUAUCAAUGGCCAUGCUGAGCUAUAGGUUCUGCGCCAUUGGCCCCUUAUAUUUGCAUUGAUGAAGCCAACCCCGGCUGAGGGGACACUGACCCAUAAUGUAGUAACAUGCAUUAAGGGCCAGCAAAGUGGGAGCAAUACUUCUGCAAUUCUCUUUUUGCAUUUUCAAAGAUUGAGCUAGUUGGUUCUAGGGCAAGGUUCAAGGUAUAACAGUGCAACCUCUUGAACAAGUACAAAACCGAACAACAGAUAAGGGCAUUCAUUAUUUUUCCUGAAAAGCCAUGGAAUGCCGGCGCAAAUCUCUUGUUUGCUUUGUCUUUGUUUAAGAAGUUGCGAUGCUAAACCUUGGAUUGGUUUUUGUGUGGCCACGGUGCGGGGUGCAUUUCUCAUUAUAAAACACCGCUGUUUCAGAAACAAAUAGUGGACUGAACCACGGCAAAGCACCUGUUCAUUCAAGUUCGGAGGAUGACAGCGAGGCAGGAACGAACGGUAACGGAACCAUGCAAUUCAUGCCAAGCUUACCUGUGAGUGACCGAAAUGUUGCUGACGGAAAGGACAAACCUUCGAAGAGAGGAGUGUACCAGUGCCCCUACUGCCCACAUGUUGCGCAUUACAUAAGUGUGCUGAACAUUCACCUACGGAAGCACAGUGGAGAGAAGCCCUUCAAAUGCAGCGUCUGCUCCGCGGCUUUCACUCAAGUGGGAACCUACAAUCGUCACCUGCGUUUGCACACAGGUGAAAAGCCGUUCAAGUGUGACAUCUGCCCAUUCACAACGGCACAGAGCCAGUCCUUGUCCUACCAUCGUGCAACCCACACGCGCUCCAGGUCACUUUCAUGCAAGAUUUGCUUCUUCACGUGUGUGAACGAGAGUAUGCUGAUAAAGCACAUGUGUGAUCACGCGCAGAAGACUCGGGCAGGCAAUGCCAUUUACUCAGCUGGUCGCAGCCUGAUCGCCUGAACGACAAAUUGAAAAGAGUGCUUUCUGCGGCGCACUCAGUCAGGCUGUUUAGGGUUAUGUGACACAUGUAUUUAAGCCUCGCAGGCUUUUAAUAAUAUUCGACAAGCAUUGACUGCAUGGCAUGUCAGUGCAUGUGCACGAAACCCUAGCCAGCGAGAGGAUCAUCUGCUAUGCUUUUGCUUUCAGGAAUGCACACGCCCUCCCUUCGUUUUCUUUGAGGUCACAUCAGUGACAUGCAUUUUGGUGAUACCAUGCUGAUACUCCCCGUUGUUCAUAUCUUAGUUCCUUAGCAAAUGUGCACAUAUUGAACAAAAAUGGAAAACGCAUCGCAGGUAAAACGUCCACGUGUUCUUCUUCAUGCUGGCUUUUUGUAAACAGGACUGGGGAACAGAUAACUGGUAUGUAGGGUAUGCAUACUUAAGAUGUGAACAAUGCAGCAGAUGACAUUUCUUUACAUGCCUGGAGUGUGCUUUGUGCGGUCACGUAUACUGUCAUUGUUCUCGCUGCUCCUCACAUGCUGUUACAAUGUAUUGAGAUGCUUGUGGUCAGUGCUCGUGCAAUAUUAGUAAACAUCCCUUAACUUCUCUCCCUGUUACAUUGUACCCCCUAACCCCAUCUUUCCACUGCUGACCACAGUUCAGCUGUCAGCAGUUACUUCCUUUCUUUGAUAUGCAGUAAAUAAAACACAUAGAAGUUGUGGAUU